AAGUACCUGGAGGAAGAGAAAGAAAAAUCGAUUUCCUGAGUAGCGGCGAGCGAAACGGAAAGAGCCCAAACCAAGAAGCUUGCUUCUUGGGGUUGUAGGACACUCUAUACGGAGUUACAAAAGAAAGUUAUAAAUGAAGCGGUCUGGAAAGGCCCGCCAAAGACGGUAACAGCCCGGUAGUUGAAAUGGCUUUCCCUCCAGAGUGGAUCCUGAGUACGGCGGAACACGUGAAAUUCCGUCGGAAUCCGGGAGGACCAUCUCCCAAGGCUAAAUACUCCCUAGUGACCGAUAGUGAACCAGUACCGUGAGGGAAAGGUGAAAAGCACCCCGGAAGGGGAGUGAAACAGUUCCUGAAACCGUGUGCCUACAAGUAGUUAGAGCCCGUUAAUGGGUGAUAGCGUGCCUUUUGUAGAAUGAACCGGCGAGUUACGAUUUGUUGCAAGGUUAAGCGGAAAAAGCGGAGCCGUAGCGAAAGCGAGUCUGAAUAGGGCGCAUAAGUAACAGGUCGUAGACCCGAAACCAGGUGAUCUACCCAUGUCCAGGAUGAAGGUAAGGUAAUACUUACUGGAGGUCCGAACCCACGCACGUUGAAAAGUGCGGGGAUGAGGUGUGGGUAGCGGAGAAAUUCCAAUCGAACUUGGAGAUAGCUGGUUCUCUCCGAAAUAGCUUUAGGGCUAGCCUCGAGGUAAAGAGUCAUGGAGGUAGAGCACUGUUUGGACUAGGGGCCCUUCUCGGGUUACCGAAUUCAGAUAAACUCCGAAUGCCAUGUACUUAUACUCGGGAGUCAGACUGCGAGUGAUAAGAUCCGUAGUCGAAAGGGAAACAGCCCAGACCACCAGUUAAGGUCCCCAAAUAUAUGUUAAGUGGAAAAGGAUGUGGGGUUGCUUAGACAACCAGGAUGUUGGCUUAGAAGCAGCCACCAUUGAAAGAGUGCGUAAUAGCUCACUGGUCGAGUGACCCCGCGCCGAAAAUGUACCGGGGCUAAACAUAUUACCGAAACUGUGGAUGAACCUCUUUAGAGGUUCGUGGUAGGAGAGCGUUCUAAGGGCGGUGAAGUCAGACCGGAAGGACUGGUGGAGCGCUUAGAAGUGAGAAUGCCGGUAUGAGUAGCGAAAGAAGGGUGAGAAUCCCUUCCACCGAAUAUCUAAGGUUUCCUGAGGAAGGCUCGUCCGCUCAGGGUUAGUCGGGACCUAAGCCGAGGCCGAUAGGCGUAGGCGAUGGACAACAGGUAGAGAUUCCUGUACCAGUGCUAAUUGUUUAACCGAUGGGGUGACACAGAAGGAUAGGGAAUCGCACGAAUGGAAAUGUGCGUCCAAGCAGUGAGUGUGAGAAGUAGGCAAAUCCGCUUCUCGCGAAGCAUGAGCUGUGAUGGGGAAGGAAAUUAAGUACGGAAGUUCCUGAUUUCACGCUGUCAAGAAAAGCCUCUAGGAAGAGUAGUACUGCCCGUACCGCAAACCGACACAGGUAGAUGAGGAGAGAAUCCUAAGGUGAGCGAGAGAACUCUCGUUAAGGAACUCGGCAAAAUGACCCCGUAACUUCGGGAGAAGGGGUGCUCUAUUAGGGUGCAAGCCCGAGAGAGCCGCAGUGAAUAGGCCCAGGCGACUGUUUAGCAAAAACACAGGUCUCUGCAAAACCGUAAGGUGACGUAUAGGGGCUGACGCCUGCCCGGUGCUGGAAGGUUAAGAGGAGUGCUUAGCUUCGGCGAAGGUACGAAUUGAAGCCCCAGUAAACGGCGGCCGUAACUAUAACGGUCCUAAGGUAGCGAAAUUCCUUGUCGGGUAAGUUCCGACCCGCACGAAAGGCGCAACGAUCUGGGCACUGUCUCAACGAGAGACUCGGUGAAAUUAUAGUACCUGUGAAGAUGCAGGUUACCCGCGACAGGACGGAAAGACCCCGUGGAGCUUUACUGCAACCUGAUAUGGAAUGUUUGUACCGCUUGUACAGGAUAGGUAGGAGCCGAAGAGACGUGUGCGCUAGCAUACGAGGAGGCAAUGGUGGGAUACUACCCUGGCUGUAUGACCAUUCUAACCCGCCACGCUUAGCGCGUGGGGAGACAGUGUCAGGUGGGCAGUUUGACUGGGGCGGUCGCCUCCUAAAGAGUAACGGAGGCGCCCAAAGGUUCCCUCAGAAUGGAUGGAAAUCAUUCGCAGAGUGUAAAGGCACAAGGGAGCUUGACUGCGAGACUGACAAGUCGAGCAGGGACGAAAGUCGGGCUUAGUGAUCCGGUGGUUCCGCAUGGAAGGGCCAUCGCUCAACGGAUAAAAGCUACCCCGGGGAUAACAGGCUUAUCUCCCCCAAGAGUCCACAUCGACGGGGAGGUUUGGCACCUCGAUGUCGGCUCGUCGCAUCCUGGGGCUGUAGUCGGUCCCAAGGGUUGGGCUGUUCGCCCAUUAAAGCGGCACGCGAGCUGGGUUCAGAACGUCGUGAGACAGUUCGGUCCCUAUCCGUCGCGGGCGCAGGAAAUUUGAGAGGAGCUGUCCUUAGUACGAGAGGACCGGGAUGGACACACCGCUGGUGUACCAGUUGUUCCGCCAGGAGCAUCGCUGGGUAGCUAUGUGUGGCAGGGAUAAACGCUG
rnacentral:rRNA from 1 species